rnacentral:sRNA from 1 species
AAGAGUGAACCAGUCUGCAUGUUCUCAAAUGUCACAACACAGGCAUUGGGAGUAUAAACUUCUCCUUCCCUUGCCAGGGUGCUUUAACUUUAUCCUAGAAGGCUAACUUUGCAGGGAAAAAGAGGUCAGAUACCACUGCCAAAUCUGACCUUGGCUUCU